rnacentral:rRNA from 1 species
UGAUAAACUGGAGGAAGGUGGGGAUGACGUCAAGUCAUCAUGGCCCUUACGACCAGGGCUACACACGUGCUACAAUGGCGCAUACAAAGAGAAGCGACCUCGCGAGAGCAAGCGGACCUCAUAAAGUGCGUCGUAGUCCGGAUUGGAGUCUGCAACUCGACUCCAUGAAGUCGGAAUCGCUAGUAAUCGUGGAUCAGAAUGCCACGGUGAAUACGUUCCCGGGCCUUGUACACACCGCCCGUCACACCAUGGGAGUGGGUGCAAAAGAAGUAGGUAGCUUAACUUCGGGAGGGCGCUUACCACU